GGGACACUUGAUGGAAUUGAGCCAUCGUUAAGGUGAUCAAUUUCAGCUGUGCUUUUCCUACUAUGACAAGUCAAAAUGUCUGCUGUGAAAAAGGUCUAUUCCUGGGCAUGGCUCUCCACCGACGCCAGAUCGUUGCACCUACCAGUGUGACCUACACCUCGAGACCUGCUGCCAUGGCUUGCUGUGUCGCCAGCUCAUCACUCUCCUGUUUUUUUCUACCCUCUCAUUUGGAUUUAUGCUAGAGAGUUUGGACAUUCCUCUACCUGCCUGCCUCAGCCCCUUUCCAGCCCGGAGCUGACUUACUUUGCAUCAGCAUUCCUUGGUUGCUUUAAAGAACUGAAUUUUCAUUAAAACGUUUUGUUAUAUCGUUA